CACGUAGGGUGCGAGCGUUGUCCGGAAUUAUUGGGCGUAAAGAGCUCGUAGGCGGUGUGUCGCGUCGGCCGUGAAAACCUGCAGCUUAACUGUGGGCUUGCGGUCGAUACGGGCAUCACUGGAGUUCGGCAGGGGAGACUGGAAUUCCUGGUGUAGCGGUGAAAUGCACAGAUAUCAGGAGGAACGACCGGUGGCGAAGGGCGGGUCUCUGGGCCGAUACUGACGCUGAGGAGCGAAAGCGUGGGGGAGCGAACAGG
rnacentral:rRNA from 1 species